UGGUGGAGUGAUUUGUCUGGUUAAUUCCGUUAACGAACGAGACCUCCGCGUGCUAAAUAGUUCUAUCUACAAUUUGUAGAUAUGAACUUCUUAGAGGGACUUUUGGUGACUAACCAAAGGAAGUUGGAGGCAAUAACA
rnacentral:rRNA from 1 species